GUCCCUGCUGCGCAAUGGUUUGCGCAUUGGAGAUCUAAUUCAAAGGACGUGCGUUCGAAUCCUACCUGGGAUG